rnacentral:rRNA from 1 species
UACAGAGGUCUCAAGCGUUGUUCGGAUUUAUUGGGCGUAAAGGGUGCGUAGGUGGCGCUGCAAGUCGGGUGUGAAAUUUCGGAGCUUAACUUCGAAACUGCAUUCGAUACUGCGGUGCUUGAGGACUGGAGAGGAGACUGGAAUUCAUGGUGUAGCAGUGAAAUGCGUAGAGAUCAUGAGGAAGACCAGUGGCGAAGGCGGGUCUCUGGACAGUUCCUGACGCUGAGGCACGAAGGCCAGGGGAGCAAACAGG